ensembl:lncRNA
CAAAAACCUGUGUGCUACCUACUCUAUGUCUGUUCUUGAGUUUCCCACUUAGACCUGUACAAAAGAUGUUGUCACGAAAUCUAAUUAUUGCCUCAGUUGCAGUUGUCUUUCUGGCAACAACUGCUUCAACUGCACCAGUUGAAGACAAAGAACCUGAGGAGAAUGACUUUGAGGCAGAGGAGGGUGAGGAAGAACUCUCGGAGGAAGAAGAGGGUAGGGGAUGAAGGUCCACUUACUGUUACUGUU